rnacentral:rRNA from 1 species
GGUCAGGAUGAACGCUGGCGGCGUGCUUAACACAUGCAAGCGAACGGAGUUUUAACGGAAGUUUCGGAUGGAAGUUAGAAACUAGUGGCGGACGGGUGAGUAACGCGUGGGUAACCUGCCUCAUACAGGGGGAUAACAGUUAGAAAUGACUGCUAACACCGCAUAAUAUAGCAAAACCGCAUGAUUCUGCUAUCAAAUAUUUAUAGGUAUGAGAUGGGCCCGCGUCUGAUUAGCUAGUUGGUGGGGUAAAAGCCUACCAAGGCGACGAUCAGUAGCCGGCUUGAGAGAGUGACCGGCCACAUUGGGACUGAGACACGGCCCAAACUCCUACGGGAGGCAGCAGUGGGGAAUAUUGGACAAUGGGGGAAACCCUGAUCCAGCGACGCCCGCGUGAGUGAAGAAGUAUUUCGGUAUGUAAAGCUCUAUCAGCAGGGAAGAUAAUGACAGUACCUGACUAAGAAGCCCCGGCUAACUACGUGCCAGCAGCAGC